rnacentral:rRNA from 1 species
CACAUGCUGUGAGCUCGAUGAGUAGGGCGGGACACGUGGUAUCCUGUCUGAAUAUGGGGGGACCAUCCUCCAAGGCUAAAUACUCCUGACUGACCGAUAGUGAACCAGUACCGUGAGGGAAAGGCGAAAAGAACCCCGGCGAGGGGAGUGAAAAAGAACCUGAAACCGUGUACGUACAAGCAGUGGGAGCACAGAGCAAUCUGUGUGACUGCGUACCUUUUGUAUAAUGGGUCAGCGACUUAUAUUCUGUAGCAAGGUUAACCGAAUAGGGGAGCCGAAGGGAAACCGAGUCUUAACUGGGCGUUAAGUUGCAGGGUAUAGACCCGAAACCCGGUGAUCUAGCCAUGGGCAGGUUGAAGGUUGGGUAACACUAACUGGAGGACCGAACCGACUAAUGUUGAAAAAUUAGCGGAUGACUUGUGGCUGGGGGUGAAAGGCCAAUCAAACCGGGAGAUAGCUGGUUCUCCCCGAAAGCUAUUUAGGUAGCGCCUCGUGAAUUCAUCUCCGGGGGUAGAGCACUGUUUCGGCAAGGGGGUCAUCCCGACUUACCAACCCGAUGCAAACUGCGAAUACCGGAGAAUGUUAUCACGGGAGACACACGGCGGGUGCUAACGUCCGUCGUGAAGAGGGAAACAACCCAGACCGCCAGCUAAGGUCCCAAAGUCAUGGUUAAGUGGGAAACGAUGUGGGAAGGCCCAGACAGCCAGGAUGUUGGCUUAGAAGCAGCCAUCAUUUAAAGAAAGCGUAAUAGCUCACUGGUCGAGUCGGCCUGCGCGGAAGAUGUAACGGGGCUAAACCAUGCACCGAAGCUGCGGCAGCGACACUAUGUGUUGUUGGGUAGGGGAGCGUUCUGUAAGCCUGUGAAGGUGUGCUGUGAGGCAUGCUGGAGGUAUCAGAAGUGCGAAUGCUGACAUAAGUAACGAUAAAGCGGGUGAAAAGCCCGCUCGCCGGAAGACCAAGGGUUCCUGUCCAACGUUAAUCGGGGCAGGGUGAGUCGACCCCUAAGGCGAGGCCGAAAGGCGUAGUCGAUGGGAAACAGGUUAAUAUUCCUGUACUUGGUGUUACUGCGAAGGGGGGACGGAGAAGGCUAUGUUGGCCGGGCGACGGUUGUCCCGGUUUAAGCGUGUAGGCUGGUUUUCCAGGCAAAUCCGGAAAAUCAAGGCUGAGGCGUGAUGACGAGGCACUACGGUGCUGAAGCAACAAAUGCCCUGCUUCCAGGAAAAGCCUCUAAGCAUCAGGUAACAUCAAAUCGUACCCCAAACCGACACAGGUGGUCAGGUAGAGAAUACC